AGACCUAUGUCCCAGCCACCUAUCUUGUAAGUUUCCAUAUGUGCACCCUCAUUGGUGCUAGGCUGCCACCCCUUUUCUUUGCAGAUAUGGACAGUCACCAUCUCCAGGACCUGUGGUGGGAAAGUCCAGGACUGGUCAGAAUGUGAGCCUAUGUGACUAGUGUGGAAUUGGAACUAACUGUUGAGAGUAGAAAGACAGACUUUUGCAGUAACAAGCAGCAGCAGGAAGAAUUAGAAUGUAUGGUGAAAAAUCAACACCAGGAACGCCAGGCAUUGUUGGAUGCUGCUCAGAGGCCUUUUUAUGUGUGAUGCAGGAACACUGAUAUGAAGGGCCAGCAAGCUUCCUCAGGAGUUGCUGGAGUAUCUCCUUGGAAAACACACCACUUAACCAUGCUGUGAAGGAACAGUCAGCCGAGGACCCAAGGCUUUUCCUUCUCCUGAUCCAUAUUCUGGUCUUAAUACCACAGACACCCUGCAUGGAGGAUGACAGGACUGAGUCCCAGGGAUUGAUCAGAUGUCUAUUGGAUGUGAACUGUGCAUUCUGAAGUUGGCCUUCUGACUUGUUACACCAGAGAAGUUUCUGUACUUUCUUUUUCUCUGUAA